rnacentral:rRNA from 1 species
UACGUAGGGGGCUAGCGUUGUCCGGAAUCAUUGGGCGUAAAGAGCGCGUAGGCGGCUAGAUAAGUCCGGUGUGAAAGUCACAUGCUCAACCUGUGAAUGCCGCUGGAAACUGUCUGGCUAGAGUCCGGAAGGGGCGAGUGGAAUUCCUGGUGUAGCGGUGAAAUGCGCAGAUAUCAGGAGGAACACCAAUGGCGAAGGCAGCUCGCUGGGACGGUACUGACGCUGAGGCGCGAAAGCGUGGGGAGCAAACAGG